CCUACGGGAGACAGCAGUGGGGAAUAUUGCGCAAUGGGCGAAAGCCUGACGCAGCGACGCCGCGUGAGGGAUGAAGGUCCUCGGAUUGUAAACCUCUGUCAGCAGGGAAGAAAGGUCACUGUGCUAAUCAGCAGUGAAUUGACGGUACCUGCAAAGGAAGCACCGGCUCACUCCGUGCCAGCAGCCGCGGUAAUACGGGGGAUGCGAGCGUUGUCCGGAUUUAUUGGGUUUAAAGGGUGCGCAGGCGGAAUGUCAAGUCAGCGGUAAAAUUUCGGGGCUCAACCCCGUCGUGCCGUUGAAACUGGCGUUCUUGAGUGAGCGAGAAGUAUGCGGAAUGCGUGGUGUAGCGGUGAAAUGCAUAGAUAUCACGCAGAACUCCGAUUGCGAAGGCAGCAUACCGGCGCUCAACUGACGCUCAUGCACGAAAGCGUGGGUAUCGAACAGGAUUAGAUACCCCAGUAGUC
rnacentral:rRNA from 1 species